UACGUAGGGGGCAAGCGUUAUCCGGAUUUACUAGGUGUAAAGGGGGCGCAGACGGCGAUGCAAGCCAGGAGUGAAAGCCCGGGGCCCAACCCCGGGACUGCUCUUGGAACCGCGUGGCUGGAGUGCAGGAGGGGCAGGCGGAAUUCCUGGUGUAGCGGUGAAAUGCGUAGAUAUCAGGAGGAACACCGGUGGCGAAGGCGGCCUGCUGGACUGCAACUGACGUUGAGGCCCGAAAGCGUGGGGAGCAAACAGG
rnacentral:rRNA from 1 species